rnacentral:rRNA from 1 species
GCGCGAAACCUUUACACUGCACGCAAGUGGAAUAGGGGAAUCCCAAGUGCGAGGGCAUAUUAGCCCUCGCUUUUGUUGACUGUAAGGAGGUCAACGAAUAAGAGCUGGGCAAGACCGGUGCCAGCCGCCGCGGUAAUACCGGCAGCUCGAGUGAUGUCCACUAUUAUUGGGCCUAAAGCGUCCGUAGCUGGCCAGCCAAGUUCGUCGGGAAAUCCACCUGCCCAACAGGUGGGCGUCCGGCGAAAACUGUCUGGCUUGGAACCGGAAGGCUCAGAGGGUACGUCCGGGGUAGGAGUGAAAUCCCGUAAUCCCGGACGGACCACCGAUGGCGAAAGACUCUGAGAAGACGGAUUCGACAGUGAGGGACGAAAGCUAGGGUCUCGAACCGGAUUAGAUACCCGGGUAGUCCUAGCUGUAAACGAUGCUCGUUAGGUGUGGCACCCACUACGAGUGGGUGCUGUGCCGUAGGGAAGCCGCUAAACGAGCCGCCUGGGAAGUACGUCCGCAAGGAUGAAACUUAAAGGAAUUGGCGGGGGAGCACUACAACCGGAGGAGCCUGCGGUUUAAUUGGACUCAACGCCGGACAUCUCACCAGCCCCGACAUCAGUAAUGACGGUCAUGUUGACGACAUCUGCCCGAGCUGAUGAGAGGAGGUGCAUGGCCGCCGUCAGCUCGUACCGUGAGGCGUCCUGUUAAGUCAGGCAACGAGCGAGACCCACGUUCCUAAUUGCCAGCACCGGCGCCAGCCGGGUGGGUACAUUAGGAAGACUGCCGCUGCUAAAGCGGAGGAAGGAAUGGGCAACGGUAGGUCAGUAUGCCCCGAAUGGGCUGGGCAACACGCGGGCUACAAUGGUCAGGACAAUGGGUUCCUACCUCGAGAGAGGACGGUAAUCUCAGAAACCUGGUCGUAGUUCGGAUUGCGGGCUGAAACUCGCCCGCAUGAAGCUGGAUUCGGUAGUAAUCGCGUUUCAUUAGAGCGCGGUGAAUACGUCCCUGCUCCUU